rnacentral:rRNA from 1 species
UGCCAGCACCCGCGGUAAUACCAAGGGACCUAGCCUACUUCGGAAUUACUGGGCUUAAAGAGUUCGUAGGUGGUUGAAAAAGCUGGUGGUGAAAUCCCAGCGCUUAACUCUGGAACUGCCAUCAAAACUUUUCAGCUAGAGUAUGAUAGAGGAAAGCAGAAUUUCUAGUGUAGAGGUGUAAUUCGUAGAUAUUAGAAAGAAUACCAAUUGCGAAGGCAGCUUUCUGGAUCAUUACUGACGCUGAGGAACGAAAGCAUGGGUAGCGAAGAGGAUUAGAUA